GGGGAUAAGAAACUGUGAACAUCAGUUCUCACAAAAAUCUCCCCUUGUGUAGAACAGAGGUUUGUUGGCUGUCUUAAGAUAUCCAUUUCCAAUGGACAAUCAUAACAAGAGAAGGAUGACAGGGAUAAAGAAACUGCAUUUAUGGCACCCCCUGCAGGAGAACUAAGGGGCGCUGAGUUUGUUUACAAACAAUUAAAGGCUGAAUUCCUCCAGCUUUUAACACAAAAUCAAAAGUUAUCACCGUGUUUUGGGGGUCGAAUUAACAUUUGAUUGUUAUUAACAGGACAUACAAAAUUAGUUUGCGAUCAUUUCACACAGUAAAUGUCAUUAUACUGAGGGUGGAGUGUGGGACUGUAAUUCACUUGUUUUUUCUUGCUUCUGUUUUACGAGACAACCAUGUUUUUCCAUCCAGAUGUUCCACCAAUAAGAAGCCACUGUUUCCAGUGAAGGAAGGAGGCGGAGGAAGGAAUUCUACUGCUACUGCCGCUGCUGGACCGGGAUGCUUAUUAUUAUUAUCUGUCAAACCCAGUAGCCGUUAAGAUCAGGGGGGAAAUCGUUGAUUUUAUUUUCGUUAGACAAACGAGGACGAUGAUGAAGAGCAUGUCAACAGUCGUUGUAGGGCUGUGUACGGUGUACUUUGCACAUGCCUUCGAACACAGUGCUUUACUUGAGAGAAAUGUCCACAUGGAGCGAUCCAUGGGCUUGAAGCAGAGAACAGCAUUGUACAGAGAUGUGGUUACCAUUUUAUCCAGGGCUCAUUCUGACCUCACUGUCUACCCAUCUGCUGGGGUCUUGUUUGUCCAUGUUCUGGAGAGAGAGCACUUCAAAGGGGAGUUUCCCCCCUACCCAAAAUCAGGUGAUGGCAGCAACGAUCCCAUCACUUUCAACACUAACCUGAUGGGAUACCCAGACAGGCCGGGCUGGCUGCGUUACAUUCAGAGGACUCCACACAGUGACGGUGUCCUCUAUGGUUCCCCCACUGCGGAACAUGUUGGCAAGCCCACAGUCAUAGAGAUUACUGCCUACAACAGACGCACUUUCGAGACAGCACGGCACAACUUGGUCAUAAACAUCAUGGCUACAGAAGAGUUUUCUCUGCCUUACCAGGCUGAGUUUUACAUCAAAAACAUGAAUGUGGAGGAGAUGCUGGCCAGUGAAGUGCUGGGAGACUUCCUUGGUGCAGUGAAGAAUGUGUGGCAGCCUGAACGCCUCAAUGCCAUCAACAUCACCUCGGCACUGGACCGUGGCGGCCGCGUGCCUCUGCCCAUCAAUAACCUCAAAGAAGGAGUGUAUGUGAUGGUUGGUGCUGACGUUCCCUUCUCGUCGUGCCUGCGGGAGGUGGAGAGCCCACACAACCAGCUACGCUGUAGCCAGGAGAUGGAGCCUGUCAUCAGCUGUGACAAGAAGUUCAGGGCUCAGUUUCACAUUGACUGGUGUAAAAUUUCUCUGGUUGACACUAACAAAGUGGUCCCAGUAUACAUAACACGCGCUGAACCAGGCACAGGGAUCCUGCCGGAUUUUGGAGAAUACAACCCACCUCCUGAGACUCUGAAGAGCCGGAACUACUUUUCUGACUUCCUCAUCACGCUAGCCGUUCCCUCUGCUGUGGCACUAGUCCUUUUCUUCAUCCUUGGCUACAGCAUGUGCUGCCGACGGGAAGGGGUGGAAAAAAGAAACAUGCAAACACCAGAUAUCCAGCUGGUCCACCACAGCUCCAUCCAGAAGUCCACCAAGGAGCUGCGGACCAUGUCUAAGAACCGUGAGAUCUCCUGGCCACUCUCCACCCUGCCCGUCUUCAACCCGGUCAGUGGUGAGGUGGUGCCACCCAUCCAUCCAGACAACUACGAGACCACCAGCAUGCCCCUUAUGCAGACACAGACGAACCUUCAAAACCAGAUUACAAUACCACAGCAGCGGCCAUCAGCCAAUAACGGUGACGACGCAUCGACGCCACGGGUUGUUGAUGCGUGAGCGCCAUCCUGUGUGCAUGGCUGUGAACUGCAUGAGAAACUAACCCACUGCUCUCUCUGUCCACUGCUAACAAAGGAGAUAACUAUGUCAUGUCAACAUUUCAAAGGCUGGAGGUAAAUGGUAUUCCUGAGGAGAGAAAGGUGGCCGAAGCCCUAAAUUUGUGACCAGAAAACAACCACAUCAAACCUUUAUGUCUUCAAUGUCCAUGUAUUUUUUUUUAAAACAUUUGUGCCAAUUCCCAUCACUCAGAAGUGUCUUGAGAAAAGUUUAUGCACUCACAUUUUGAAGAGUGCACGUGUUGAAGAAACAGAGAUUAUAGGAGUUUUAAGAAGAACAUGUUUAAAGGACUGAAAACACAAAGGUUUAAAAUGGUAAUUCCUCGCACAAUGGGCCUCCGAGAGGAAAAGGAGGUUGUACUGUACAUGGAGUUUCUGUACAUUGGUCGUCAUUGUUACGUGUUACAUGAUGACAGUAAAAUAUUUCCAAAUUGUUUUUACUUGUUGAAAAAAAAUCUAGGAAAUAAACAAAGGUAAUGUCAAAAUGACAAGGAAGGAGGUACAGUGUAGAGCAGAAUAAAGGCAUUUAUAAAUAAAUUGGAUAUAGUUCACAUUUUUUGAAGACAUCGCAAUUUUACAUGUAACAUUUCAAAGUGGCCCCUGCACAGGGUUAUAAAUAGUUGUUGCUUUUACAUGACCAAAGAGAUCUAUUAAGGCCUGAAACAAUUACUAAAGCUGUGAAUCAAUAAAAGGUCCGGAAAAAAAGUUAACUUUUUUAGUUUACACAACGAAAAAUUGCA